GGAAGGGUUGCUGCCAAGCAAUUUGGAUCAAAUUUUGUUCAAUGGAUUUGGACUUAUGUUUCCUAUUGAAAAAACAUUGCAAGUAUUUAUCAAACUGUGUAUUUGUGUACUGAUAUUUUUAGGAUAGUUAUUAACUGGCUUGACUGCAUUCUGUAUAAGCUUUCUUCAUUUUCACCCAGUUUUAUUUCUUUCUACUCAUGAAAAUGUUGAAUAAUUUCUAUGAGCA
rnacentral:misc_RNA from 1 species